AGGCAGGGUGACCUCUGCUAAGGAUCCCAGGACAGGGUUUUCUUGUGAGAAAAAGGACAAGGGUGUGAGGGAAUCUGCCCAGAGGGUAGAGCCAGCCUCUACUAUUCUGCUAGGACCAAACUCCUGAAGUUCAUGAGGACUGCUACAUGGAGGAACUUGGUGGAGAAGGGACUUUUUGGCCAAAAAGACUCAAAAAAAAAGCUGAGUCAGGCCCCUCUGGGACUGUAGUGAAGGAGCCCUUUUCUGCCCUCACCCAAAAGAACCCCCACCCAUCCCCCACUUCUCACUGAGGAGGUGGAGGGGUGACAAGGGACUGGACAAGACGCCCCGCAGACUCUCCAGCCAUUCUCGUUGUUCCUUUUCAGUGGGGCAGGUGAAGAUGAAUUUCCGCUCCGGAGUGAUGACGAAAAACCUGGCCCAGCUCAAAAGCAUCCUGAAAAUGGAAGGCAUAGAGUCGUCAGAGGCCUUGGGGCAGAAGAGCCCUUGCAGCCUGGCCAGUCCCAAGGUCAAGUUUGGUAAAGAGGUGUACGUGGUCCAAAGGUUAGGACUGAAUGGCCUGGGCACAGGAGUGACCUAGAACUGUACAUCUGACCCAAACAGGUCACCUGGAGCUCUGGGUUGCUCUGAGCUGUAUAGGCCAAAAGUUAGAGACCGACUGGAAGCCCUCCCUGGUGCUUGCUGGGCAGGACAGCAAGCACCUGCAAGAGGAUUCGCGGCCAGCUGCAGUUAUUAGUCAGCCUGAGAGAAAGAUGGCUGACAAGAGCCAUGAGAGUAUAGACCCAGUCACACAUGAGUCCCCGGUGUGGCUUCUCCAUCCUUCUCCUUUUCCUUGGUCAUGUUUGAGCUCCUGGUAUUAUGAUCUUCUUCUUUUUCUUCCCUCUUGUUUCCUCUUUUAUAAAAAAAAUAUACAUUUAUU
ensembl:antisense Adap2os ArfGAP with dual PH domains 2, opposite strand